AUGUCGCUAUCUCUCUCUCUCCUGUCUUGCAGAGGAGUGAGAGCGAGACAGGAGAGCGAGACAGGAGAGGGAGAGACAGACACAGGGCUCUCGCUCCCCUGUCUCCUCGCUCCCCUGUCUCCUCGCUCCCCUGUCUCCUCGCUCCCCUGUCUCCUCGCUCCCCUGUCUCCUCGCUCCCCUGUCUCCUCGCUCCCCUGUCUCCUCGCUCCACUGUCUCCUCGCUCCCCUCUCCUCUCGCGCUCUCCCCUCGCUCUGCUCUCCUCUCGCGCUCUCCCCUCGCUCUCCUCGCUCUGCUCUCCUCUCGCGCUCUCCCCUCGCGCUCUCCUCGCUCUGCUCUCCUCGCUCUGCUCUCCUCUCGCGCUCUCCCCUCGCGCUCUCCUCGCUCGCGCUCUCGCGCUCUCCUCGCUCUGCUCUCCUCGCUCUGCUCUCCGCGCUCUGCUCUCCUCUCUCUGCUCUCCUCUCUCUGCUCUCCUCGCUCUGCUCUCCUCGCUCUGCUCUCCUCGCUCUGCUCUCCUCGCUCUGCUCUGCUCUCGCGCUCUCCUCGCUCUGCUCUGCUCUCGCGCUCUCCUCGCUCUGCUCUGCUCUCGCGCUCUCCUCGCUCUGCUCUGCUCUCGCGCUCUCCUCGCUCUGCUCUGCUCUCGCGCUCUCCUCGCUCUGCUCUGCUCUCGCGCUCUCCUCGCUCUGCUCUGCUCUCGCGCUCUCCUCGCUCUGCUCUGCUCUCGCGCUCUGCUCUCCUCUCGCCCUCUCCUCUCGCUCUCGCCCUCUCCUCUCGCUCUCGCCCUCUCCUCUCGCUCUCUCUGCUCUCCUCUCUCUGCUCUCCUCGCUCUCCUCUCGCUCUCUCUGCUCUCCUCUCUCUGCUCUCCUCUCUCUGCUCUCCGCGCUCUGCUCUCCGCGCUCUGCUCUCCGCGCUCUCCUCUCGCUCUGCUCUCCGCGCUCUGCUCUCCGCGCUCUCCUCUCGCUCUGCUCUCCGCGCUCUCCUCUCGCUCUGCUCUCCGCGCUCUCCUCUCGCUCUGCUCUCCGCGCUCUCCUCUCCGCUCUGCUCUCCGCGUUCUCCUCUUGCUCUCCGCGCUCUCCUCGCUCUCACCCUCUCCUCGCUCUCACCCUCUCCUCUCCUCGCUCUCACCCUCUCCUCUCGCUCUGCUCUCCGCGCUCUCCUCUCGCUCUGCUCUCCUCUCGCUCUGCUCUCCUCUCGCUCUGCUCUGCUCUCCUCGCUCUGCUCUCCUCGCUCUGCUCUCCUCGCUCUGCUCUCCGCUCUCCUCUCGCUCUGCUCUCCGCGCUCUCCUCUCCGCUCUGCUCUCCGCGUUCUCCUCUUGCUCUCACCCUCUCCUCUCCGCGCUCUCCUCGCUCUCACCCUCUCCUCUCCGCGCUCUCCGCGCUCUCCUCUCCUCUUGCUCUCCGCGCUCUCCUCUCCUCUUGCUCUCCGCGCUCUCCUCUCCUCUUGCUCUCCGCGCUCUCCUCUCCUCUUGCUCUCCGCGCUCUCCUCUUGCUCUCCUCGCUCUCACCCUCUCCUCUCCGCGCUCUCCUCGCUCUCACCCUCUCCUCUCCGCGCUCUCCUCGCUCUCACCCUCUCCUCUCCGCGCUCUCCUCGCUCUCACCCUUUCCUCUCCUCGCUCUCACCCUCUCCUCUCCGCGCUCUCCUCGCUCUCACCCUCUCCUCUCCGCGCUCUCCUCGCUCUCACCCUCUCCUCUCCGCGCUCUCCUCGCUCUCACCCUCUCCUCUCCGCGCUCUCCUCGCUCUCACCCUCUCCUCUCCGCGCUCUCCUCGCUCUCACCCUCUCCUCUCCGCGCUCUCCUCGCUCUCACCCUCUCCUCUCCGCGCUCUCCUCGCUCUCCUCGCUCUCACCCUCUCCUCUCGCUCUCGCCCUCUCCUCUCGCUCUCGCCCUCUCCUCUCGCUCUCGCCCUCUGCUCUCGCCCUCUCCUCUCGCUCUCGCCCUCUCCUCUCGCUCUCGCUCUCGCCCUCUCCUCUCGCUCUCGCCCUCUCCUCUCGCUCUGCUCUCCGCGCUCUCCUCUUGCUCUCCGCGCUCUCCUCGCUCUCCUCGCUCUCACCCUCUCCUCGCGCGCUCUCCUCGCGCGCUCUCGUGCUCUCCUCUCGCUCUGCUCUCCUCUCGCUCUGCUCUCCGCGCUCUCCUCUUGCUCUCCGCGCUCUCCUCGCUCUCCUCGCUCUCACCCUCUCCUCUCCGCGCUCUCCUCGCUCUCACCCUCUCCUCGCGCGCUCUCCUCGCGCGCUCUCGUGCUCUCCUCUCGCUCUGCUCUCCUCUCGCUCUGCUCUCCGCGCUCCUCGCUCUCUCCUCGCUCUCUCCUCGCUCUCUCCUCGCUCUCUCCUCGCUCUCUCCUCUCGCUCUGCUCUCCGCGCUCUCCUCUCGCUCUCGCCCUCUCCUCUCGCUCUCGCUCUCGCCCUCUCCUCUCGCUCUCGCCCUCUCCUCUCGCUCUGCUCUCCGCGCUCUCCUCUUGCUCUCCGCGCUCUCCUCGCUCUCCUCGCUCUCACCCUCUCCUCUCCGCGCUCUCCUCGCUCUCACCCUCUCCUCGCGCGCUCUCCUCGCGCGCUCUCGUGCUCUCCUCUCGCUCUGCUCUCCUCUCGCUCUGCUCUCCGCGCUCUGCUCUCCGCGCUCCUCGCUCUCUCCUCGCUCUCUCGCUCUGCUCUCCGCGCUCUGCUCUCCGCGCUCCUCGCUCUCUCCUCGCUCUCUCCUCGCUCUCUCCUCGCUCUCUCCUCGCUCUCUCCUCGCUCUCUCCUCGCGCUCUCCUCGCGCUCUCCUCGCGCUCUCCUCGCGCUCUCCUCUCUCUCCUCGCUCUCGCCUCUCUCGCGCUCUCCUCGCUCUCGCGCUCUCCUCUCUCUCCUCUUUCCUGGUCUUCCUCUAUAUAGGCCUAUGUUAGGCUAUCUGUGUCACUCUCUCCACUAG
rnacentral:lncRNA from 8 species